GAUUGAACGCUGGCGGCAUGCCUUACACAUGCAAGUCGAACGGCAGCACGGGAGCAAUCCUGGUGGCGAGUGGCGAACGGGUGAGUAAUAUAUCGGAACGUGCCCAGUCGUGGGGGAUAACUACUCGAAAGAGUAGCUAAUACCGCAUACGAUCUACGGAUGAAAGCGGGGGAUCGCAAGACCUCGCGCGAUUGGAGCGGCCGAUAUCAGAUUAGGUAGUUGGUAGGGUAAAAGCCUACCAAGCCUGCGAUCUGUAGCUGGUCUGAGAGGACGACCAGCCACACUGGAACUGAGACACGGUCCAGACUCCUACGGGAGGCAGCAGUGGGGAAUUUUGGACAAUGGGCGCAAGCCUGAUCCAGCAAUGCCGCGUGCAGGAAGAAGGCCUUCGGGUUGUAAACUGCUUUUGUCAGGGAAGAAAUCUUCUGGGCUAAUACCCCGGGAGGAUGACGGUACCUGAAGAAUAAGCACCGGCUAACUACGUG
rnacentral:rRNA from 1 species